UAAAUGUUUGUCAAGCUGUACUGCUGAGGGGAUACCAGGUGUAACUAGAUUUUUCCCUUUAAGCUGACAAUGGCACCAUGCAUCUUUGGGACUGGAGAACUGGCUACAAUUUUCAGAGAGUUCACGCAGCUGUGCAACCUGGGUCUUUGGACAGUGAAUCAGGAAUAUUUGCUUGUGCUUUUGAUCAGUCUGAAAGUCGAUUACUAACAGCUGAAGCUGAUAAAACCAUUAAAGUAUACAGAGAGGAUGACACAGCCACAGAAGAAACUCAUCCAGUCAGCUGGAAACCAGAAAUUAUCAAGAGAAAGAGAUUUUAAUGAAUGUGGAAUUUUUUCUCUCUCUUUUUUUUUCUUUUUAAUUAAAAAAAAAAAAGCUUGGCGUUCAUGAGGAUAUCCAGUCAUUUUGUGCUCUGGCUGGGAAUAUAAAGGAGAAAUUCACUUGCUUCAAUCAUUGCUGCUUCAUAUUUUACAAUAAACUGUCCCCUGUCCCCUACCCCUGUGUUUUUAUUUCUAAAACAAUUUGUGAUACUAGGAAGAUGCAGAUAUCAAGUAAAUGCAGGUUUAUUGAACA
rnacentral:lncRNA from 1 species